UACGUAGGGCGCAAGCGUUGUCCGGAUUUAUUGGGCGUAAAGAGCUCGUAGGCGGUCUGUCGCGUCUGCUGUGAAAACCCGAGGCUCAACCUCGGGCCUGCAGUGGGUACGGGCAGACUAGAGUGCGGUAGGGGAGACUGGAAUUCCUGGUGUAGCGGUGGAAUGCGCAGAUAUCAGGAGGAACACCGAUGGCGAAGGCAGGUCUCUGGGCCGCAACUGACGCUGAGGAGCGAAAGCAUGGGGAGCGAACAGG
rnacentral:rRNA from 1 species